GUACACAGUAGAAGCGUCCCUUGCAGGGGCUGUUGGGUUGCAUCCUAAGCUGUGCUGGAGCUUCCUGAUGUACUCUGUAGAUGUCUUUGCACCUUCUG
ensembl:miRNA